UACGAAGGGGGCUAGCGUUGCUCGGAAUCACUGGGCGUAAAGCGCACGUAGGCGGCUUGUUAAGUCAGGGGUGAAAUCCUGGAGCUCAACUCCAGAACUGCCUUUGAUACUGACGAGCUUGAGUCCGGGAGAGGUGAGUGGAACUGCGAGUGUAGAGGUGAAAUUCGUAGAUAUUAGGAAGAACACCGGUGGCGAAGGCGGCCCACUGGUCCGGUACUGACGCUGAGGUGCGAAAGCGUGGGGAGCAAACAGG
rnacentral:rRNA from 1 species